rnacentral:tRNA from 1 species
GCAACAAUAGCUUAAGGUAGAGCAUUGGUCUUGUAAGUCAAAGGUGGGUGUAUAUGCCCUUGUUGCU